rnacentral:rRNA from 1 species
GACAGAGGUGGCAAGCGUUGUUCGGAUUUACUGGGCGUAAAGCGCGUGUAGGCGGUUUGGUAAGUCAGGCGUGAAAUCCUAUAGCUUAACUAUAGAACUGCGUUUGAUACUGCCUUACUUGAGUGCGGGAGAGGAGAGUGGAAUUCCCGGUGUAGCGGUGAAAUGCGUAGAUAUCGGGAAGAACACCGGUGGCGAAGGCGACUCUCUGGACCGCAACUGACGCUGAGACGCGAAAGCGUGGGGAGCAAACAGG